AAGGUGUGCUGUGAGGCAUGCUGGAGGUAUCAGAAGUGCGAAUGCUGACAUAAGUAACGAUAAAGCGGGUGAAAAGCCCGCUCGCCGGAAGACCAAGGGUUCCUGUCCAACGUUAAUCGGGGCAGGGUGAGUCGACCCCUAAGGCGAGGCCGAAAGGCGUAGUCGAUGGGAAACAGGUUAAUAUUCCUGUACUUGGUGUUACUGCGAAGGGGGGACGGAGAAGGCUAUGUCGGCCGGGCGACGGUUGUCCCGGUUUAAGCGUGUAGGCUGACUUUCCAGGCAAAUCCGGAAAGUUAAGGCUGAGGCGUGAUGACGAGGCACUACGGUGCUGAAGUGACAAAUGCCCUGCUUCCAGGAAAAGCCUCUAAGCAUCAGGUAACAUCAAAUCGUACCCCAAACCGACACAGGUGGUCAGGUAGAGAAUACCAAGGCGCUUGAGAGAACUCGGGUGAAGGAACUAGGCAAAAUGGUGCCGUAACUUCGGGAGAAGGCACGCUGACAUGUAGGUGAAGCCCCUGCGGGUGGAGCUGAAGUCAGUCGAAGAUACCAGCUGGCUGCAACUGUUUAUUAAAAACACAGCACUGUGCAAACACGAAAGUGGACGUAUACGGUGUGACGCCUGCCCGGUGCCGGAAGGUUAAUUGAUGGGGUUAUC
rnacentral:rRNA from 1 species